CUCACCCUUCAUCCUCAUCAUUCUCUCACUCGGUCUCUCUUUUCUCUCUCGCUCAUAUCGCCCCCUCUUUCCCUCUCUCACUCGGUCUCUCUCUGCCCGUAGCCUUCCUCCUCAUCCUUCAUCGUAUCCUCAUCCUCUCCCGACUGCACCCAGCCAGCAGGCAUAAACGGAUCGGAGAACGGGGCAAUUAAGUUUACUCUUCAAACAUGCUCCUAAUGCCAUAGCUAUGUUCUAAGAUAUAAAAUCUAAAAAUCAUUCAGGAAGAAAAAGGCUAUCAAUAUCACAUGGUUAAAAGUAGUACAGCACACUGAAAAACAAUACUAACUCAAAAUUAGUUCAGUAGUGGUCAUGGCCUCGUUUUUGCUGGUGAUUGACUGAAACUCGGGACACAGGAUCAAACUUUUUCCUUUUCUGUAGUUAAGAGAAACGAAAAUCAGUUUACAAAAGGAGUAAUCAGGAUCUACUGCAUUCAGGUGGCAUAGCACACAAGCUCUCGAUUGAACAACCCGAAAACUUCCCAACUUGUCUCACCACAAAGCCGUACCCGAAAUCCAUGGUAUCCGCAUAUUUUAAAAAGUUGAAACUCUAUUCCAGAUCGAUCAUAGGAGAGGUUAAUGCCCUGAAGGAGGAAGUGACAACCCUAAGAGGUCAGCUUGCGGCCUAGGGCGAGCAAAUGAGGGCCUAGGGCAAACAGAUGAGUAUGAUUGUACGGCCUCCAAAUCCUAAUGCCAGCACCUGAUCUUGUUUCACCUUCGACCUCCUAGCCACUUCGCCCAGCUAAUACUCAGUAGCCUGAUCUAUCAAACCUACAAGACUACUUCUUGUAGUUUUUUCUUUUUUUGUUCGGACAUCUGGUAUGUAUAUUUUCAUAUAUUUUAUAAUUAAAUA